rnacentral:lncRNA from 1 species
AUGACUGCAUGGAGCGCCUUUACCGUCCCACCAGAGCAGUACCUAUUAAUCUACUCACAUUUGCAUGUCCAUAGACACCUCCAAGGUCAUGUGGCCACUGGCAUGACUGCAUGGAGCACUGUUACCGUCCCACCGGAGCAGUACCUAUUAAUCUACUCACAUUUGCAUGUCCAUAGACACCUCCAAGGUCAUGUGACCACUGGCAUGACUGCAUGCAGCGCCGUUACCUUCCCACCGGAGCAGUACCUAUUAAUCUACUCACAUUUGCAUGUCCAUAGACACCUCCAAGGUCAUGUGACCACUGGCAUGAUUGCAUGGAGCGCCGUUACCUUCCCACCGGAGCAGUACCUAUUAAUCUACUCACAUUUGCAUGUCCAUAGACACCUCCAAGGUCAUGUGACCACUGGCAUGAUUGCAUGGAGCGCCGUUACCUUCCCACCGGAGCAGUACCUAUUAAUCUACUCACAUUUGCAAGUCCGUAGACUCCUCCAAGCUCAUGUGGCCACUGGCAUGACUGCAUGCAGUGCCGUUACCUUCCCACCGGAGCAGUACCUAUUAAUCUACUCACAUUUGCAAGUCCGUAGACUCCUCCAAGCUCAUGUGGCCACUGGCAUGACUGCAUGGAGCACUGUUACCGUCCCACCAGAGCAGUACCUAUUAAUCUACUCACAUUUGCAUGUCCAUAGACACCUCCAAGGUCAUGUGACCACUGGCAUGACUGCAUGGAGCGCUGUUACCUUCCCACCAGAGCAGUACCUAUUAAUCUACUCACAUUUGCAUGUCCAUAGACACCUCCAAGGUCAUGUGACCACUGGCAUGACUGCAUGGAGCGCUGUUACCUUCCCACCGGAGCGGUACCUAUUAAUCUACUCACAUUUGCAUGUCCAUAGACACCUCCAAGCUCAUGUGGCCACUGGCAUGACUGCAUGCAGCGCCGUUACCUUCCCACCGGAGCGGUACCUAUUACCGUAUAUACUCGAGUAUAAGUCGACCCGAAUGUAA